rnacentral:misc_RNA from 1 species
UGAUGCAGUAUCAAAAGCAAGAGCGAAUUCAGAAAUAGGCAAAGAUAAAUGAAGGCAUCCAGGGUCUAACCCGAAGGAAAAUUUGCAAAUGCUAUCGAAAGAAAAUCUUCUAAACACAUCUUGCAAAUCCAAAGCCUCUUUUUUACCAGUCAUUGAUGACAAGAGAGGUAUCAACCUACCUCGGAUCUCGCUCGUAAUGAGCUCAAAAGCAUAAGUCCUUAUGGAAACACUACCGAGCUCUAAACUCGCCAUUUUCCUUUGAAACCUCCAAGAAUCACCAUCAACAUUAAAAAUACCUCUACCCAAAAGAUCACCCAAGAGAGCAGAGAAAGGUUUCCCUUUUGGGUAGUUGUCAAAAUUGGUAUUGAGAAUAUACUUAACGUUUUCUGGGUUGGAAGUGAUGAUAUUGCGAAGAACAUGGAUGUGAAUCGUACCGGUGGGCGAUUUCCGAAGAAGAUGAGUACACCAAUCGCAAAGAUUAGCAAAAUCUUUGGUCCAACUAGCAGUGAGAUAGCUUUUGCAUACCUCACAAUUACACCAUGGCUUUAGCCUCAACAAAAACACAAGCAAAGAGAACAAAGAAAACAAUAAGGUAAAACCAAAGAAGAGCAAACAAAAAACACUGGAAAUGGACUCCA